ensembl:lncRNA
AAAAAAUGAGUACUACAGCUGCUCCUGUUUUGUGAUUCAUGCCUGCUAAAGAUCAGGACUGAUUUAUCCAAUUGUAUUAUACUAUAAAGCAUCUUAAUCAUUUGACCACAAGUUACAAAGGGAAAGCCUUGUUCUGUGUCCAAUUUAGUAUUUUUGCGCCUAGCUUUGAAAUGGGCCUAUUAUAAUUACACUAUGGAUUAGGAUCAAAACUUUUUCAUGCCUUGGUAAUUCAAAUCCCAUGUUUAAUUGAUAUUUAUAAAAAAAAAUACCAGUCUGAAAAGGGAAGUAGUUUGGAUUAUGUACAGUUUAUAAUCUGCUCAAAGAAAGCUGAAAAACUCAAUAUGAAGGUGAAGUGAAAGAAACUGUAGCUUCCACGAUCAGCUUCAGAGAUCUGAGUUUGCAAAAUUAGAGGUCAGAUAGAUUUGGCCAACAAAUUUUAAGUUAUAAGUCCAGAUACUUUCCCACUUAAAUACUCUUAGUAUCUUGAGAUAGACAGCAUAUGCUGCCUAUAGCCUGGCUGAAAAACCAGACCUUCUUCUCUUCGUGGCCCUGCCCUUCCUCUCUUCUCCUCUUCUCGGCCCUGCCCUUCUCCUAUUCUCCUCUUCUCAGCCCUGCCCUACACCUCUUCUCGUCUUCUGGGCCACACCCUUCUCCUCUUCCCCUCUUAUCUUCUUCCCCACUUCUGGGCCACGCCCUUCUCCUCUUUUCCUCUGCUCCUCCUCAGCUCUGCUACACUUCUGGGCCCUGCCCUUCUCCUCUUCUCCUCUUCGUGGCCCUGACCUUCCUCUCUUCUCCUCUUUCACUCUUCUCCCCUUCGUGGCCCUGCCCUUCCUCUCUUCUCCAUUUCCGCUCUUGUCCCCUUCGUGGCCCUGCCAUUCCUCUUCUCCACUUCUCCUCUUCUCGGCCCUGCCCUUCCUCUCUUCUCCUCUUCCGCUCUUCUCCCCUUCGCGGCCAUGCCCUUCAUCUCUUCUCAAUUUCCGCUCUUCUCACCUUUGUGGCCCUGCCCUUCCUCUCUUCUCCUCUUCAUGACCCUGCCCAUCCUCUCAUCUCCUCAUCCGCUCUUCUCCUCUUCGUGGCUCUGCCGUUCCUCUUUUCUCCUAUUCCGCUCUUCUCCUCUUCGAGGCCCUGCCCUUCCUCUCUUCUCCUCUUGUCCUCUUCGUGGCCCUGCCCUUCCUCUCUUCUCCUCUUCUCCACUUCGUGGCCCUGCCCUUCUCCUCUUCUCUUCUUAGGCUCUUCUCUUCUGGGCCCUGCCCAUCUCCUCUUCUCCUCUUCCGGGCCCUGCCAUUCUCCUCUUCUCCGCUUCUCGGCCAUGACCUUCCCCCUUCUCCUCUUCUCCUCUACGCAGCACUGCCCUUCUCCGCUUCUCGGCCCUGCUCUUCUCCUCUUCUCCUCAGCGGACCCUGCCCUUCUGCUCUACGGCUUUUCUCCACUUCUCGGCCCUGCCUUUCCUCUCUUCUCCUCUUAUUGCCCCUGCCCGUCCUCUCUUAUCCUCUUCUCCUCUUCUCGGCCCUGCCCAUCUCCUAUUCCCCUCUUCUCCUCUUCUCGGCCCUGCCCUUCUCCUAUUCUCCUCUUCUCGGCCCUGCCCUUCCUCUCUUCGCCUCUUCUCCUCUUCUCGGCCCUGCCCUUCCUCUCUUCUCCUCUUCUCCUGUUCUCGGCCCUGCCCUUCCACUCUUCUCCUCUUCUCGGCCCUGACCUUCCUCCAUUCUCCUCUUCUCCUCUUCGUGGCCCUGCCCUUCCUCUCUUCUCCUCUUCUGCUCUUCUCCUCUUCGUGGCCCUGCACUUCAUCAGUUCUCUUCUGGUCUUCUCUUCUUCGUGGCCCUGCUCUUCCUCUCUUCUCCUCUUCCGCACUUCUCCCAUACGUGGCCCUGCCCCUCCUGUCUUCUCCUCUUCGUGGCCCUGCCCUUCCUCUCAUCUCCUCAUCCGCUCAUCUCCUCUUGGUGGCUCUGCGCUUUCUCUCUUCCACUCUUCUCCUCUUCAUGGCCCUACCAUUCCCCUCUUCUCCUCUUCCACUCUUCUCAUCUACUUGGCCCUGCACUUCCUCUCUUCUCCUCUUCUCCUCUUCUGGGCCCUGCCCUUCUCCUCUUCUCCUCUUCUCGGCCCGGACCUUCCUCUCUUCGCCUCUUCUCCGCUUCUUGCCCCUGCCCGUCCUCUCUUCUCCUCUUCUCCUCUUCAUCGCCCUGCCCUUCUCCUAUUCUCGUCUUCUUGGCCCUGCCCUCCUCCUCUUCUCCUCUUCUCCUCUUCUCGGCCCUGCCCUUCCUCUCUUCUCCUAUUCUCGGCACUGCCAUUCCACUCUAAACCUCUUCUCCUCUUCUCGGCCCUGCCCUUCCUCUCUUCUCCUCUUCUCGGCCCUGCCCUUCUCCUAUUCUCCUCUUCUCCUCUUUUUGACCCUGCCCUUCCUCUCCUCUCCUCUUUUCUUCUCGGCCCGGCCCUUCCUCUCCUCUCCUCUCCUCAUUUUCUUGGCCCUGCCCUUCUCCUCUUCUCGGCCCUGCCCUUCUCCUAUUCUCCUCUUCACCUCUUCUUGGCCCUGGCCUUCCUCUC